rnacentral:rRNA from 1 species
UGGGGAAUUUUGGACAAUGGGCGAAAGCCUGAUCCAGCAAUGCCGCGUGUGUGAAGAAGGCCUUCGGGUUGUAAAGCACUUUGUCCGGAAAGAAAUCCUUGGCUCUAAUACAGUCGGGGGAUACGGUACCGGAAGAAUAAGCACCGGCUAACUACGUGCCAGCAGCCGCGGUAAUACGUAGGGUGCAAGCGUUAAUCGGAAUUACUGGGCGUAAAGCGUGCGCAGGCGGUUUGCUAAGACCGAUGUGAAAUCCCCGGGCUCAACCUGGGAACUGCAUUGGUGACUGGCAGGCUAGAGUAUGGCAGAGGGGGGUAGAAUUCCACGUGUAGCAGUGAAAUGCGUAGAGAUGUGGAGGAAUACCGAUGGCGAAGGCAGCCCCCUGGGCCAAUACUGACGCUCAUGCACGAAAGCGUGGGGAGCAAACAGGAUUAGAUACCCUGGUAGUCCACGCCCUAAACGAUGUCAACU